CUUCUCCCGGGCGGGCGCGCGCUGCGGGGCGGCGGGCGGAGCGUGAGCUGCCAGCCCGGAGCCGGGAGCGGGGAGCCGGGAGCCGGGAGGCUCGGUCGGCGCCCUGCACGCAACCAUCCUCCGGGUUCCCAGCCCCGGGUGCUGAGCUCGCCGCUAUAAAUAGCAGGUUACAGCUUCUGCUUGGGCGCACUCGCUCUCACUGGAGAAGGCUGGAAAGUCAACCUGAAAAGUGUCUGCCGCUGCUAUCGCCCCCUACUCAGCCUCUGCAAGAGAACCCAAAGAAAUGGUGUCACCUGGCAAGAGGUCUGCCGCUUUUUAUGAAAAAUCAGCUCAAGUGAAAACUUAGACAGUGAGAUGGCAAGAGCUGUACAACUGUGGAGAUAACGACGCUCCCUGCAGAGCUGGACCACCAGGUGAGAUGAUUUCCGUAAGUAUCAUCUAACCAGCAAAAUUGAUGCCACACACAGCAAUAAUGAAAGAAUUCCUAGGAGGGAUCCUCACUGUUGAUUUUUGAAGCACAUUAACUUCAAAAAUCAAAUUUGAAUGCUGCAGAUUAGAAAAAAGAAAAUUUCACAUCUGUACCAGACAGGUGACUUGUUAUAUCAGAUGCUGUUACUGUGAGGAUCAAAUCAGAGGCCUUAUCUGAAAGUGACUGGUAGAUUCUAGAACCUUUCAGUGGUGUGUGCUGUCCUUGGAAGCACUAUGGGACUGCACCUACUGACAAUUCACGAUGCUGGCUUGUUAGCUACAGGUGAGACGUUGGGGAUUUACUCAGUUUAUACCUGGUUAUCUACAUGCUCCAAAACAGGGGAACCUCUCUGAGAACAUCUCUGCCUGUCUACACACAGUCAGUCACCCAGGCUUUAGGCAAUAGGAACAUAGACCCAUAAGACAUGACUUGAUGAUUUCUCAUCAGACACCUCUGUUUAUCUCUCUGACUCUGGAAGAUACCAGCAUGCUCUCAUGCAGGUUUCCAGAUUAUUAAGAAGGUCAAAUUCUACCUUCAUAAAAAUAAUGGGGGAAAAAGAGAGAAGAACGGUGAAGUGUGACCCAGGUUGGUUUUGCCCUUUAUUAUCAUAGUUUCAUGUACAGUAGUGGAUUCUUUCUUAGGAAAUAAAUCAUCUGUCUCUUGGAUGGUGUUUGUGCCCUCCUUGGAGCAUAAGCUUAUGAUACAGACUGAGUGCUUAUCUGAGUUUUUCACUUAUUUGAGGGGAACUACUUCUGAGAAAUAAGCCUGUCAUAGAAAAUGAAUAUAUUUCUCUGCGGAGGAACUAAGCACAACUCUAUUAUAUAGUAGGGCUACGUCUUAUAAAAAUGCAUGUUAGAAAUAUGAAGCCAUAAAUAGUGGAAAUAACCCAUACACUCCCAGAAUAACAAAGCAGGAGGAUAGUCUAAGAGGAAGCAACAAAGAAGACUUCUAAAAACAUUUAUUUAUUUACUUAUUUUUAUUUACUGUGCAUGUGUUCCUAUGUAUAUGAACACACACACACACACACACACACACACACACACACACACACACACACACACACAGUGUGAGAUGCUCAGAGGACAACUUGCAGUAAAUGGUC
ensembl:lncRNA